ACGCUGGCGGCGUGCCUAAUACAUGCAAGUCGAACGGUCUUUCUAUGGAAGCUUGCUUCCACUGAGAAGAUAGUGGCGAACGGGUGAGUAACACGUGGGUAACCUGCCCAUAAGAGGGGGGAUAACAUCCGGAAACGGGUGCUAAUACCGCAUAGUUUCCUUGAUCGCAUGAUUGAGAAAGGAAAGACGGCCUUUGUGCUGUCGCUUAUGGAUGGACCCGCGGCGUAUUAGUUAGUUGGUGAGGUAACGGCUCACCAAGACGAUGAUACGUAGCCGACCUGAGAGGGUGAUCGGCCACAUUGGGACUGAGACACGGCCCAAACUCCUACGGGAGGCAGCAGUAGGGAAUCUUCCGCAAUGGACGAAAGUCUGACGGAGCAACGCCGCGUGAGUGAAGAAGGUUUUCGGAAUCGUAAAACUCUGUUGUCAGAGAAGAACAAGUUGGAGAGUAACUGCUCCAGCCUUGACGGUAUCUGACCAGAAAGCCACGGCUAACUACGUGCCAGCAGCAGC
rnacentral:rRNA from 1 species